UUACUGAGGGAGAAGUUAUAUCGCUGUAUGUAUUAUGUGCACUAUCAUAAGCGUAUAGCUUUUCCCCUUAGUGG
rnacentral:pre_miRNA from 1 species